UACGUAGGGUGCGAGCGUUGUCCGGAAUUACUGGGCGUAAAGAGCUCGUAGGUGGUUUGUCGCGUUGUUCGUGAAAACCGGGGGCUUAACCCUCGGCGUGCGGGCGAUACGGGCAGACUGGAGUACUGCAGGGGAGGACUGGAAUUCCUGGUGUAGCGGUGGAAUGCGCAGAUAUCAGGAGGAACACCGGUGGCGAAGGCGGGUCUCUGGGCAGUAACUGACGCUGAGGAGCGAAAGCGUGGGGAGCGAACAGG
rnacentral:rRNA from 1 species